rnacentral:rRNA from 1 species
UACAGGGGGGGCAAGCGUUGUUCGGAAUUACUGGGCGUAAAGGGCUCGUAGGUGGCCAACUAAGUCAGACGUGAAAUCCCUCAGCUUAACUGGGGAACUGCGUCUGAUACUGGAUGGCUUGAGUUUGGGAGAGGGAUGCGGAAUUCCAGGUGUAGCGGUGAAAUGCGUAGAUAUCCGGAGGAACACCGAAGGCGAAGGCAGUGUCCUGGCGAGUGACUGACGCUGAGGUGCGAAAGCCAGGGGAGCGAACGGG